UGUCUCCUGGUGACUGUCCUCCAAGUGGUGACUGAGGGGCCCACGUGUCUCUGCUAUCAUUCCGGGCUUCAGGGUCCUCAGCUAGGUGCUACCCAGUCGAUGAGGAAAGAACAGAGGAUGGGGUAGGAGGUUUAACUGUCUGGGCCUGGGAGUAGAGUUCAUCAUCUCCAUCACCUUCCACCGGCCAGAUUCAGACAUGAGCUACAAAGGAAGCCGGGAAAUGUAGUCUGGUUUUAUGUCCAGGAGGGAAAGAGGAACAGUUUAGUGAACAACCCAGCCUCUCCCAUACAAAGUCCAGUCUGUUCCCAUUUCAACAGCUAUGACGUCCUGGCCACCGUCUGUUAAGCAGAUCGUAUUAAUUUUUCACAGUUUUCCUUCCCUCCCCAUCCUUGUCAAGAGGCCCUGAGACCCAGCGGCAGCCCCAGGUGGCAAAGGACAGCCCAUCUAUAUGGCCCAACUAAGGCAGGAGAGUGACAGAGACCCCCACGUGGGCUGGAUGAUGCAGAAAGGCCAUGCGUGUGGAAAGGCUACGCCUGGGCUGGGUGAGGCCACCACGCUGCCUUUCCAUCGAGGUGCCUGCCAGCAGCCACUCCUGGCGAAGACGAAGGAAAAGGAACAGCCGUCCUCAAUUCAGCAAGGCGGGCUCCAGACUGAGUCAGGGGAGGGAAGUCACAGCAGGCCUGCAUCAGUCAGGAUGGCUUUCUUCUUCCAGUAAGAGGAUGCACAAUAAACAUUCAUGAAGCAGGAGAGGCAGAGAGGGUGCAAUGGAAAUCAAUAGUCAAUAUCAAUUGAAUAAGACAAACUCAUAAACCGAUUUUUUUAACAAGAAAGAACCAGCCCCCCCCCCAAGCAGUAAAUACAAAAGAAAUACUAGCUCUAAGAAGAAACCAUGCCUAUCUAUUGGCCUAAAACACACAGGAACGUCCUGUUCAAGUGGUGGUGAGAUGUGCUGGCGUCCGAGUCCAGCGCUGGUCAGGGAGCCAGCGCUCCUGUGAGCGUUCCCCUUCUCUGUGGCCGGGGGCUGGGUCUUACACCCAGACUUCGCAUGUCUCCCAGCCCAAGUGCUGCCAGACUUGGGCGCUCUGGGAAGGCAGCACAUGACCCAGGCGGAAAGGACUGCAGAAUUACCUAAAUGCUGGUUCCUGCCUCAUCCACACGU